CAAAGGCUAAGGUCAACAAGUCGCGAACUCGAUAGUGAAUAGUACCGUGAGGGAAAGCCCGAAACCACAUGUAGUUUCUGUUGGAGCCUGUGCGACAACGUACCUUUUGCAUAAUGGGCCUGCAAGUUAUGGGUGCUGGCGAGCUUAACCUCUGGGUAGGCGCAGCAUUGGCGUUUAGUCAGCCCCCAUAGACCCGAAGCCACGCGACCUAUCCGUGGGCAGGCUAGUGCGGGCGCACAGCGCCACGCCAAGGCCGAACUUGUGAUUGUUGCAAAAAUCUAAGACGAUCUGCGGAUAGGGGUGAUAAGCCAAGCAAGCGUGGUUAUAGCUGGUUCUCCGCGAAAUAUAUCUAAGUAUAGCUGCACUCGAACGCGCUCAGGUAGCGAACCCAUGCGAAGGCCUAGCCGAGCGUGGCACUAGCGAAUGGGGCGUAGUGUGAGUGCAAGACAGACCCUCGGCGCGAAGGUCGAGGGUCAAGAGGGAAACAGCCCAGACCCAAACAUAAGGCGCCCAAACAUACGCUAAAUACGAAUGCCGAGGUGGCUGCAUGGGUGAGUAGGCUUGGAAGCAGCCCGCUCUUAAUCUGCGCGUAACAGCGGGCCCAGCGCGCGAAUGUUUGUUUGUUUCGCCGCCCACCUAGGUUUAGAAUUUAUUGGCAGUAAGCGUAUUGCCGAAGGUUGGGGCAUUGCGGUAGCGGAGUGUUCUUUAUACAAGCGCAAUUUACACAGGCACGCCAGCGCACAAUCUGCGCUGGCCCGCCUGUGCAUAAUCUGUGUCGACACGCCUGUGCCGACACAGGCGGAACUGGGGAUAUACGGGGCGAGGUAAGCGCCUCAAGUCCGUCCAAAUUCGUUGCACCCCCACUGCCCGGGAGGGCAUAGGCCACUCGUGCCGUUGCUGGGGGCGGCUGGGCCGUAUGUAUGAGAAGUAAAAAUGCAGGUGUGAGUAACGCUAAGGCAGAAUAAACUGCCGCCCGAAAGCCUACAGUUUCGCCAGCAAUCUGUACAGAUCUGGCACAAAGACGACCCCUAAGUGUAAAGCGAAAGCUGAGAGCACGACGGGGCUACCCACACUAGCGGGACCGUGCCGAGCCCACGAGCUUGAGGGUGUCUCCGACGGCGGAGCAUAGGAGCCCGGGCGAGGCCGCUGUCUAACGCUCUACGCCCGCUGCUGCUGUUGCCCUCUGCUAAGCCAGACGCCGCAGCAGCGUGGCGCGCGGGAACCACGUGUGACCGUACUGCGACUGCGCGACGCUGGGCGCCCCGCCUUCACCGCCACGCGGCAUAGCUGCUUGGUCGGCUGGCGCCCCACUGUCGCGCUCGAAAAGCGCAGUAACUGAAUCGUACUAAACUGACACUAGUUGGCUAGCUGAGUAAGCGUAGGGUUUGGGGUACUGCGAUCAAAGGAACUCGGCAAAAUAGUCUCGUAACUUCGGAGAAGAGAUGCAAUAGCUAAGCAAAGAGGGGGCAGCGACUGUUUACUAAAAACACAGGACUCUGCGAAUUUUGAGUAAGUUGCAUAGAGUCUGACGCCUGCCCGGUGCCAGAAGGCGAUCGCACGCGCUAACGCGCGCGCCUAAACCCUGGUAAACGGCGGCCGUAACCCUGACGGUCCUAAGGUAGCGAAAUUCCUUGGCAGUUAAUUGCUGUCCCGCAUGAAUGGCGUAACGACUGCCCCGCUGUCUCUGGUCGCACCCCGGUGAAGACGAUUUCCCUGUGAAAAUGCAGGGGCUACUAGCGGGACGAAAAGACCCCAUGCACCUUUACUAUGACCUGGGAUACGGCCGGUGCUGCGCAGUCUCACACCGCGCUUGCGCUAGCACUGCUCCUGCGACGCGCCAGCAUCGGCCACAGCGCCACAACUACACAACGACGUUGCGCAUACUUCACCCAGGGUGGUAGUUUGGCUGGGGCGGCAACCUCCAAAAAAGUAUCGGAGGCGCGCAAAGGCACAAGAGCUCGAGAGGUAGAGUAUUGGAAUAGUGCUUGAUAAGCUCCCACACAAGGGAACUUAGGGUAUGGUUUAUGCCUGUCAAAGUGACCCGAUUGUCGCUCGCACGCGACAUCGCUCAACGAAUAAAAGGUACGCUGGGGAUAACAGGCUAAUGCACCCUGAGAGUCCCUAUUGACGGGUGCGUUUGGCACCUCGAUGUCGACUCAUCACAUCCUGGUUGUGAAGGGGCUUCCAAGGGUUCGUCUGUUCGCCGAUUAAAGUGGUACGUGAGUUGGGUUUAGACCGCCGUGAGGCAGGUUGGUUUCUAUCUGCUAGUUUUGAACAUAAUUUGACCGCUAAUUCGUACGAAAGGAGCGUAGAAGCGGGUGAGCUCUUGUGAGCGGUUGCGC
rnacentral:rRNA from 10 species